rnacentral:sRNA from 1 species
GAAACGCGAACCAAGCGGCAGCCCUCAACCGGGCGGCGUGAGACUUGGAGCGGAUAUUGGCAACAAUAUCCUG